UACGAAGGGGGCUAGCGUUGCUCGGAAUUACUGGGCGUAAAGGGCGCGUAGGCGGACAGCUUAGUCAGAGGUGAAAGCCCAGGCUCAACCUUGGAAUUGCCUUUGAUACUGGCUAUCUUGAGUUCGGGAGAGGUGAGUGGAAUGCCGAGUGUAGAGGUGAAAUUCGUAGAUAUUCGGCGGAACACCAGUGGCGAAGGCGACUCACUGGCCCGAUACUGACGCUGAGGCGCGAAAGCGUGGGGAGCAAA
rnacentral:rRNA from 1 species